rnacentral:rRNA from 1 species
AGAUUGAACGCUGGCGGCAGGCCUAACACAUGCAAGUCGAGCGGCGGCACGGGUACUUGUACCUGGUGGCGAGCGGCGGACGGGUGAGUAAUGCCUAGGAAUCUGCCUGAUAGUGGGGGGAUAACGUUCGGAAACGGACGCUAAUACCGCAUACGUCCUACGGGAGAAAGGUGGGGGAUCUUCGGACCUCACGCAAUCAGAUGAGCCUAGGUCGAUUAGCUAGUUGGUAGGUAAGCCUACAAGGCUACGAUCGUAACUGGUCUGAGAGGAUGGUCAGUCACACGUGGAACUGAGACACGGUCCAGACUCCGUAGGGAGCAGCAGGUGGGAAUAGUUGGACUAGUGGGAC